rnacentral:lncRNA from 1 species
CGGGGUGGCUGCCUGUUACUCAGCAAGAAAGCGAACACUGGCUUGCUGGCUCAGCACUUAACCUGAGAUGAGGAUGUCCUAACAGCCCUUUUUCUCUAAGGGGUCCCUGGUUCCCUUCACGCCCCCACCCCCAGCCUCAGCUCUGUCUGGGUGGAACGAAUGUCUGCUAAUGAACUAAACAAACAGGUCUCUUAAUCUUAUCAUGGAGCUGACCCAGAGACUGGCACAGAUAUCCAAAGUAUCAUAAUUGGCAGGUCAGAAUUAAAACUACAUACAUCAUGGUGACUUUAUAGCUGAGGCAAAGUGGAGCUCAAGUGUUACUUUCCCAGUAAGCAAAUCAUAAUGAAGUAUCAUGCUGGUGACUAAUUUAACUAACAUUGUCCAGGAAAUUGCUGUUGUCCAGGAAGAGAAGAGUUGAGCCGAGUGUCAACUACUAGGCUUCUGGCACCAUCCUGCACAAGAAAUUGGAGCAUAAGGGACAUUUCCACAUUCUAACUUUACAUGAAGACUCAGGACUUUGAAAGCCCAUGAGAAAGUUUUCAUAAGGAUUUAUCCACAAUUUCUUCUUUGAUUUGCUCAGAUGUGAAGCAGGAAACCUUCCAGACAUCCUGAACCUCUGAACUUUUUGUGGAUUGCCCAUCAACACAGGCAAACAUUCAUGAAGCAAUUCAAAAAUCUCUUCUCACUGCAUUAUAAGCAUGUCCUUACGUUAUUCAUAUAUCAAGAGCAUGCCCAUUCCCAACCCACAAUGGAAUGUGAGCCUAAUUACAUGUUCCUUUGGAAUAAGAUCUCACCAGCCCAGGAGUGUCAGAAACCCUCUAUCAUAUAUACGUAUCUUGUUUCCAAAAUGAUCUUCCCAAGCCACCCUAACAGGCCCCCUUCAGAAUGCUUCCUGCUGACAAGUGAAUCUGCUUUUUGCCUUUCACCCAAUCUCAGCUCAUGCUUUCUCUGUGAAAAUAUCACAGACCACAUCUGACAGUGGUCCAGCUAAUUAAUGUACUCCAAUGUCUAGCAAGCAUUUGACAGGAAAAAUAAUCUAUACAGUAUUUAUUGCAAAAUCUUCACCAAUGUGACAAAGAUGAAUGUAAACUUUACAUAAUCAUUUUUCAUUUGUUAUCCAAAGUUGAAAGUGAUUUUCAAAUGCUAACUUUAAAAUUAUGAUGAGGAAGAUAACAGCUCUGCUUUAAAACUGCUUGGCAAUGGAAUUUCUAUAGUAUAAUGGUUUAGCAAUGAGCUAGAAAAAUAAACUCUCUUGCUAAUGUAGUAAAUGGGCCAGAAAUAAACUUCUCAGGGAUUUGGGUGGUGGGGUGGGGUGAGGGAGGGGCACACAGAGGGGAUAGUGGAAUUGGAUUUCUGGAAUAAAUGAUCUGAAACCCUUAGCACACUAUAUCUUCAAAAAGCAAUGUCUUCCUUUAUAUAAUGCACGUAUCACCAUCACGAUACGAGAGCAACUCGAAGAAUCUUAACGUAUACCACGGUAAACACCUACGGCACCCAACUCAGUCUACAGCAGGACACCCAAAAGUUAAAUUCACUUUGGCUGUGGCUGUGCUCCAGGUACAUAUUUUCUCAUGAGCUUUGUUUCUUUGUUCUAGAACCAUCCUUCCCAAUAUUCCUUAACAUUGAAAUUAUACAUGUUAAAUUAAUUAUUGUUCAUUUAACUGAUGAGCUGAAACUCACGUCCUUCCUUUUGAAAGCUAAAGUAAUCUUCUAAUAAAAGGUCAGGAAUUAUCAAAUUUACUUGUAAUUAUUACUAAUUCUUCUGUGACUUCUUUUUUUUUUUUUUGAGGUGGAGUCUUG